CCCAGAACGAGUGCUACUUUUAACCCACUGCUUCUCAGAACUGCAUUUCGAACAUUUUCAAAAGCUUCUAGUGUAAAGAGUCAAUCUUAGAAAAGGAAUGUUUUAAGGACAAAAAAAUUAAAAGGAUGAAUAUUUUCAUUAUACGAUAUUAAAUGGAAGCACAUUCCUGAAGUUAAAUGUAUCUACACAAGUAGGAAAGAAAGUGGCAUCUUUCAAUUCCAAUAAACUAAAGUGUGAUAUUAAUAAUAGCCAGUUUACUGUCAGUAUUUCUCUAUGUGAUCAUAUCUACCUCCAAAGAAGACACACUGAUUNNNNNNNNNNNNNNNNNNNNNNNNNNNNNNNNNNNNNNNNNUGUUUUCUAAAAAUCUACUUUUAUGAAUCCAGGGAAGCACAAAAUAUUCUAGGGAAGAAUCCUUACUAUCAGACUUCCGUUUUAUCUAUAAUGUACAUUCCAUGAAUAUUUGGCUUUCCUUUCCGCAUAUGACCAAAAUGAAUUUCUUGCGGCAAGAACUGAUUGCUCUCUCUGCUGUGGACUGGAGUUACCUGGCGGUAUAUGGCAACCAGUUAAUUUAACAUAAAUUAACAGAUUAUGCCUGUACUCUGGUCCUGGAAUAUUAUUAGACAGAUAGCAGGUAAGAGCUGAGCAAGUAAGUGAUCAAAUGGUGCUUGUUGAACCAGGCAAAACUUCCUUGAGGAUGAAUUAUCCUUUUCAUUUCUGAGCCUUCCAAGAGGCAAGGAAAUAUGAGUCAUUCUGAUAAAGGUGAAGGUACAAUACAAACAGGCCACUUCAGACGUCGCUACCAUAUGCAGCACCCAACAAAGAAUGUUCUACGCCAGAUGGUGAAGUCCAGACUUCCUUACAGGGCUAGAAACGACAGCCACUUUGCUUCUAGGUUGUUUUACCACUUUAAGUUAGUAUAUCAAACUGUACAUUAUCAUAUGAGGUCAAAUAUGUUUUUAAAAUAUUACACACAUACCAAAAAAAAAAAAAAGAGAGAGAGAAAGAAUAGCACAAAAUGUUAAUAGCAAUUUAUCUUUGGGUUGAGAUUUUAGGCUGUCUUUAUUUUCUUUGUGCUUUGCUGUAUCUUCCAGAUUUAAACAGUGAAUGUAUUAGUUUUACAAUCCAAAAUAAAUACAUACUUAAAAAAAUAAAACAAGCAAAAACUAUAGCAGCAACUGACCUGUAACAAUCCCCCAUCUC
rnacentral:lncRNA from 1 species